rnacentral:rRNA from 1 species
UUCAACUCAGUGGCGGACGGGUGAGUAACGCGUGAGUAACCUGCCUUUCAGAGGGGGAUAACGUUCUGAAAAGAACGCUAAUACCGCAUAAGAUUGUAGCUUCGCAUGGAGCAGCAAUCAAAGGAGCAAUCCGCUGAAAGAUGGACUCGCGUCCGAUUAGAUAGUUGGCGGGGUAACGGCCCACCAAGUCGACGAUCGGUAGCCGGACUGAGAGGUUGAUCGGCCACAUUGGGACUGAGACACGGCCCAGACUCCUACGGGAGGCAGCAGUGAGGGAUAUUGGGCAAUGGGGGAAACCCUGACCCAGCAACGCCGCGUGAGGGAUGACGGUUUUCGGAUUGUAAACCUCUGUCCUCUGUGAAGAUAGUGACGGUAGCAGAGGAGGAAGCUCCGGCUAACUACGUGCCAGCAGCCGCGGUAAUACGUAGGGAGCAAGCGUUGUCCGGAUUUACUGGGUGUAAAGGGUGCGUAGGCGGAUUGGCAAGUCAGAAGUGAAAUCCAUGGGCUUAACCCAUGAACUGCUUUUGAAACUGUUAGUCUUGAGUGAAGUAGAGGUAGGCGGAAUUCCCGGUGUAGCGGUGAAAUGCGU